rnacentral:lncRNA from 1 species
CUCAGAGAGCCCCAAGGGGGCAGCCCCAGCCUCAAGGUCGGGCAGUGGACGAAGAGGUAUUUUUCCUUCCAGUUGUGGAUUGAAGAGGGGGCACCUUUCAGCAACCCCUUCUUGCCAAACUGAGGAGAGAAAUACCACCAUUCCUUCGUCGAAGGGUGACGCUUGAAGGUAUAGAAAUGCCUAAACAGAGAGAGGGAUGGCUGGACCUCGACUACGUGGCAAAGGAAAAGAAACCCUAUAAAAAACCUAAAGAAAUUCGGGGCAACUGAAGCCAAAGAGAUAUCUA